AUGGCGCGCUUCUUCGGCCGCCUGUGGGACAGAGCUCAAGGCAAGCUGGAUGUUGUGAGGAUAUGUGAGAAGGUGUUCGACGAACUGGCCGUCCUCAACGCCGAGAAGAACGCCAAGCUCCUGGACGUCAAAAAUCUCCACGUCGCCACCCUCAUGGUUUACAACUCCAUCAACAAGCAGCUGGUGGGGCCUCACAAGGACCCUCCAUGCAUGCAGGUCGUCAAGGAGAAAGCGGAGGGCUUCCGCGACAAGGGGAUAACGCAGCAGGAGUUCCGGGAGCUGAUCAUGGAGUGGGUGAGGAUGGACCUCCGCCUCGUCCUCGCCAACAAGGCCGUGGUGGCCGUCCUGGCGGCGCCGCUGCUCGCCGUCACGGCCAAGAAAGCCGGCAGGCAGGUGCCGAGGAUGAGGGACGCGGUUGACAAGGUGCCCACGCCGCUGCUCUUCGUCGUCUUCUCCGCCGGGCUCAUGCUCCUGCAGGACAUCCGGGCAGGCAAGCAGUGA
rnacentral:rRNA from 1 species